rnacentral:rRNA from 1 species
AUACAGAGGCCCCAAGCAUUAUCCGGAUUCACUGGGCGUAAAGGGUGCGUAGGCGGCUAUAUUAGUCGGGUGUUAAAUCCUCGGGCUCAACCCGAGAAUCGCAUUCGAAACGGUAUAGCUAGAAGAAGUUAGAGGUAAGCAGAACUCUCGGUGUAGGGGUGAAAUCCGUUGAUAUCGAGGGGAAUACCAAAUGCGAAGGCAGCUUACUGGGACUUUCUUGACGCUGAGGCACGAAAGCGUGGGUAGCGAACGGGAUUAGAAACCCUAGUAGUCC